GAUGAAGAACGUAGCGAAAUGCGAUAAGUAAUGUGAAUUGCAGCAUUCAGUGAAUCAUCGAAUCUUUGAACGCACCUUGCACCCUUUGGACUGCUCCAAAGGGUAUGCUCGUUUGAGUGUCAUUGUACUCUCACACUCUCUGAUCCUUUGGAUUUGGGGAGCAGUGGACUUGGGUGCUUGCUGCUUCCUUGUGGCUCACCUGAAAUGCAUCAGUGCAUCUCUCGAUUGGACAUAGUACGGCGUGAUAAGUGUCUUCGCCGGCACCUCAUAUGAGGGUGGCCGAUCGGGAGCUCUGUGCUUUCAAACCGUCUUCGGACAACGCUGACAACUUGACCUCAAAUCGAGUAGGAAUACCCGCUGAACUUAAGCAUAUCAAUAAGCGGAGGA
rnacentral:misc_RNA from 1 species